rnacentral:rRNA from 1 species
AUUGAACGCUGGCGGCAGGCCUAACACAUGCAAGUCGAGCGAGCGGCGGACGGGUGAGUAAUGUAUGGGGAUCUGCCCGAUAGAGGGGGAUAACUACUGGAAACUGUCGCUAAUACCGCAUACUCUCGGAUGAACCCAUAUGGGAUUAUCUAGUAGGUGGGGUAAAGGCUCACCUAGGCGACGCUCCCUAACUGGUCUGAGAGUAUGAGCAGCCACACUGGAACGGAGACACGGUCCAGACUCCGACGGGAGGCAGCAGUGGGGAAUAUUGGACAAUGGGCGCAAGCCUGAUGCAGCCAUGCCGCGUGUAUGAAGAAGGCCUUAGGGUUGUAAAGUACUUUCAGCGGGGAGGCGUUACCCGCAGAAGAAGCACCGGCUAACUCCGUGCCAGCAGCCGCGGUAAUAC